UACGUAGGGGGCGAGCGUUAUCCGGAUUUAUUGGGCGUAAAGCGUGCGUAGGCGGUUUAUUAAGUCUAAGAUUAAAUCCCGAAGCUUAACUUCGGCUCGUUUUAGAAACUGGUAGACUUGAGUGUGGUAGAGGUAAGUGGAAUUUCUAGUGUAGCGGUUGAAUGCGUAGAUAUUAGAAGGAACACCAGUGGCGAAGGCGGCUUACUGGGCCAUUACUGACGCUGAGGCACGAAAGCGUGGGGAGCAAAUA
rnacentral:rRNA from 1 species